UACGUAGGGUGCGAGCGUUAAUCGGAAUUACUGGGCGUAAAGCGUGCGCAGGCGGUUUUGUAAGACCGAUGUGAAAUCCCCGGGCUUAACCUGGGAACUGCAUCGGUGACUGCAAGGCUUGAGUGUGUCAGAGGGAGGUGGAAUUCCGCGUGUAGCAGUGAAAUGCGUAGAUAUGCGGAGGAACACCGAUGGCGAAGGCAGCCUCCUGGGAUAACACUGACGCUCAUGCACGAAAGCGUGGGGAGCAAACAGG
rnacentral:rRNA from 1 species